rnacentral:lncRNA from 1 species
GGAGAAAUUGCACAAUCCACGACCAGACCAGAAUAUACUGAAAAAAUAAUUUAUUCAAUUGUAAAUCAGGAAUUUUAUUUCUUAAAGGUUUAAGAAUAACUAUUAAUGAGAUUUUGAGUUUGUCCAUUUGGGAUUUAAUUUAAAGGAAUGAAAAAAAAUCAAGACUCCACAAAAGCAAACACCGACCCUUUUUCUCUUUUCUUUCACGAUAGAUCAUUUCUUUGGUUCAGGAUCAUUAACUCUCCCUACUCCAGAGUGGAUCCCAGAAAACUUGAGUUAAAAACUUUUAUAAAGUCUAUUUUUUGUCAGCAUUUUCGUUGGUUUUGUUUUGUUGCUGGGUUGUGAGAUUUCGGGGCAAGAAUUGAGUAGGAGGCACAGUAAAGCGGUAGAGAAAAUGUAGGUUUCAUUUUAUCAAGGAAGCUCAUUGUGCUGAACAUCAGGCCAGUGCAAUGACUCUUCAAAUAAAUCGCUUGAAAAUGGAAACAAAUGUUCUAAAUUGGAACACAAGCAAAAUAUAAAUAUACCUGCAUAUGUAAAUGUUACCUCCUAACUUCCUUUACAUUGAAUUGCCUAACUUUAAAUACUAUGUAGGACUUCAUAGCUUCUCUUAGAGAAGGGAACUGAAUGUUAAGCUGUUCAGUCGUGAGGACUGGGUCUCCGACUGCCAUCCCCUCUACUUGUGAUAAAAAGUCAAUUAACCAUUUUAUUGAAUGCAUCUGGUUGUUACACUGCAGUAGCGCAGAUGGAGCAAGGAAAACCAAGAGGUCACUUGAUGGGAGGGCUUUUCCUCCGCUGCUCUCUGUGAUGUCAGCCCUCCAACUUGGGGCAUGAUGGGCUGAGGGACCCUGAGGGCUAGAGCAGGUGGUGUGGGACUUGCUGAUGACUGAUUGUCAUGAAGCCCAGGUCCAAGGAAAUGUAACUCCUUGCAAGCCUCUUCAAUCCACUGCAGUCCUUUGCCUUCCCUGAUGCCAUCCACUUCCUCUGGCCAAGGAUCUGAAGACAUAGGUUACAGACUUGGGCAGACUGAAUGUGACUUGAGCAAAAGAAGAAGCAUCUUCCAUUCAUGUCGCCACUGCUCUGGGUGUUGUGGGGUCGAGGAGGCUGGAGAACACCUACACUGCCUCCCAUUCAGCUCCUGGGACCAUGCUGUGUUUAAGUGCCAGCCCCAUACCCUGUGCCCCUCUGAGGUGGCAUUGCGCCACCAUGAUCAGACCCUCUUUCCACUCUUUGAUAUUCCAUGGCAAACUCAAUUUGAGGCUGUGUUUUCACUUUAUGCUGAGCACCCACUGGCUCAUUCAGAUUCCCUGUGACUCCAAAGAUACACCACCAUGGUAUCCAUUGGGAAUCUCCACCAAUCCUUCCCACAGAAACCAAACAACAUCCUGAUGAGAAAAGCACAUGGACUACAAACGGCCUGCAGCAGUCUGCUACUGAAACCAUUUGAGGCUUGCCAAGAUGGACUGUGUCCUUACUGAGAGUUUUCCUGCUGCAAAGCAAUUCUAUGUUGCUUCAGACUCAGCAAAGACAGGAAGGUAUUGAAAUCAAGGGGAAAACCCUUGACAAUUCUAUCUUCUUGCCCAACACUUCCCUGAGCACCUUUUUCUCCAGUACAUUAUCUGGCACAUGUAGAGUGUUUCUGGCUUUUCUUUGCCCGUGACAAAUUCUUUUUGGCUCAGCUGAUAGUAUUUCCCCAAACCCAGAAUAGAUAAGAAAUCACUGGGAAUUUACAUCUGAUCACCAUAGGUUCAUUCUCCCAUAUUACAAGGCUCAAAGUUACAAGGAG